GUCGAACGAUGAACCCCAGCUUGCUGGGUGGAUUAGUGGCGAACGGGUGAGGAACAAGUGAAGAAUCUGCCUUCAACUCUGGGAUAACUCCGGGAAACCGGGGCUAAUACCGGAUAUGAGAUCUGCAGGCAUCUGCGGAUCUGGAAAGUUUUUCGGUUGAAGAUGACUUCGCGGCCUAUCAGCUUGUUGGUGAGGUAAAGGCUCACCAGGGCGACGACGGGUAGCCGGCCUGAGAGGGCGACCGGCCACACUGGGACUGAGACACGGCCCAGACUCCUACGGGAGGCAGCAGUGGGGAAUAUUGGGAAAUGGAGGGAACUCUGACCCACCGACCCCGCGUGCGGGAUGAAGGCCUUCGGGUUGUAAACCGCUUUCACCACGGAAUAAGCGCACGUGAAGGUACCUGCCUAAGAAGCACCGGCUAACUAUGUGCCAGCCGCCGCGGUAAUACAUACGGUGCAUGCGUUGUCCGGAAUUAUUGGGCGUAAAGAGCUCGUACGUGGUUAGUUACGUCAGAUGUGAAAAUCAAGGGCUCAACCCCUGACCUGACUCCGAUACAGACUACCUAGAGUUUGGUAGGGGAGACUGGAAUUCCUGGUGUAGCGGUGGAAUGCGCAGAUAUCAUGAGGAACACCGAUGGCGAAGGCAGGUCUCUGGGCCAAUACUGACACUGAGGAGCGAAAGCGUGGGGAGCGAACAGGAUUAGAUACCCUGGUAGUCCACGCCGUGCACGGUGGGCGCUAGUUGUGCGAACCUUCCACGGUUUGUGCGACGCAGCUAACGCAUUAAGCGCCCCGCCUGGGGAGUACGAUCGCAAGAUUAAACUCAAAGGAAUUGACUU
rnacentral:rRNA from 1 species